CCUACGGGGGGCAGCAGUCAAGAAUCAUUCACAAUGGGGGAAACCCUGAUGGUGCGACGCCGCGUGGGGGAAUGAAGGUCUUCGGAUUGUAAACCCCUGUCAUGUGGGAGCAAAUUAAAAAGAUAGUACCACAAGAGGAAGAGACGGCUAACUCUGUGCCAGCAGCCGCGGUAAUACAGAGGUCUCAAGCGUUGUUCGGAAUCACUGGGCGUAAGGCGUGCGUAGGCUGUUUCGUAGGUCGUGUGUGAAAGGCGCGGGCUCAACCCGCGGACGGCACAUGAUACUGCGAGACUAGAGUAAUGGAGGGGGAACCGGAAUUCUCGGUGUAGCAGUGAAAUGCGUAGAUAUCGAGAGGAACACUCGUGGCGAAGGCGGGUUCCUGGACAUUAACUGACGCUGAGGCACGAAGGCCAGGGGAGCGAAAGGGAUUAGAUACCCCGGUAGUC
rnacentral:rRNA from 1 species